GUCCCUACUGCUGUCCUCCCACAACAUAACUCCACUGUGACAAAUUUGGAUUUCUCAGUAGUGUUUUCAUGUUUUUGGCAGAGAGGAAAGGAAUAGGACCCCAAUACCAAAUCCGACAUGGAAGGAAAACGAGCCAGUAGCAUGCAGCUCGCACACCCACAAAUCCGGGAAGGUUAUCCACUGCUUUCCUAGCUAAAACGCAAGAUGUUUGGAGGAAGUCUGCCUGGAAAACACAAAGUGAAACACCACUCUCCCCACUCUUUAAACAUAAACUUAAUUUAAGCCAAACCUGCAACCCCCAGGAUAAGCUGGGGAUUAAAUAUGGAAUAUUUAGGACAGAGAAGGAAAUGAAUCAAUGCUCACUCGAUCUGACAAGGAAACCUCAUGUGGAGUUCAGAGAACAGGUGAGGGCUUCAGACUAUCUGAAUGUUUCCACUUGUGAGGAGGGAACAAAGAAAUGCCUGCCUGUCACCAUCUCUGCUUUGUCCCCAGAGGGAUCUCCGGGAUACCAAAUCCAUCACGAGCCACAACCAUCUGCCACCAUCCACUGAGGCUUUUGUAGCUCGUGUCACCCCUGGAAAAACAGCAUUUCUCUGCAUCUUGGGCUAGGCAGCCACGUCUCAUUUGGGAGUGACAAAAUGGCAGCAGAUCCCUUGGAGCCCAUCCUCACAGCCCAAAUGUGGAGCAGCUCAAGAACACACUUGAUGGACCCAACACUCUGGUUUAAUUUGGUAAUUUUUCAAUAUCUUCCAGGUUCGAGUGGGAGAUGAAGAUGACUUAUGGAAGCACCUGAGAACCAGCCUGGUGGUCACCUGUGAUAGCAGGGACCUGGCGGAUUACAACCCAGCCGUCUGCCUGUGAUGCUGGCCAAAUCAUGCCGUCCUCCACGACUGCCAGGGAAGAGGAAUUAGGAGGUGCAGCUCUACAAAAAUACAUUUUGACAAAUGCUGUCAACUUGCCACUUUUGACAUUGAAUAAUUUAUGAGAGAAACAGAACAGAUAGACCCACAGAUCAAAGGAUUUUACACAUAGUCUAAGAUGAAUGACGUGUGUGUGAAACACCCAGCCCUCCAAAGAAGCACCUCUCCACGGCUCUCCAGAAGGACUGUCAACUGGACAGAGACGUUCCGUUUACUCCACAACUACACAACUGCAAUUUAGGGCCAUGUGACCCUCAGUUUAGGCAGGAAAGGAGUUUGGAGAACACCAUGGCGACUUGUUUAAAAAAAAAAAAAAAAAAAGCCAAAC